rfam:Nocardioides sp. Root614 contig_1, whole genome shotgun sequence.
CCGUCCCCUCGGGGACAGCAACUAUCCCGGUACCUGACACGGCCGGGGAG